rnacentral:rRNA from 1 species
AGUCGAACGGCAGCACGGGAGCAAUCCUGGUGGCGAGUGGCGAACGGGUGAGUAAUAUAUCGGAACGUACCCUGGAGUGGGGGAUAACGUAGCGAAAGUUACGCUAAUACCGCAUACGAUCUAAGGAUGAAAGUGGGGGAUCGCAAGACCUCAUGCUCCUGGAGCGGCCGAUAUCUGAUUAGCUAGUUGGUGGGGUAAAGGCCUACCAAGGCAUCGAUCAGUAGCUGGUCUGAGAGGACGACCAGCCACACUGGAACUGAGACACGGUCCAGACUCCUACGGGAGGCAGCAGUGGGGAAUUUUGGACAAUGGGCGAAAGCCUGAUCCAGCAAUGCCGCGUGAGUGAAGAAGGCCUUCGGGUUGUAAAGCUCUUUUGUCAGGGAAGAAACGGUGAGGGCUAAUAUCUCUUGCUAAUGACGGUACCUGAAGAAUAAGCACCGGCUAACUACGUGCCAGCAGCCGCGGUAAU